GACGAACGCUGGCGGCGUGCCUAACACAUGCAAGUCGAACGGAAAGGCCUGCUUUCCCUUGUGGAUUGCGGGUACUCGAGUGGCGAACGGGUGAGUAGCACGUGAGUGAUCUGCCCCCAACUUGGGUAUAAGCCUGGGAAACUGGGUCUAAUUCCCGAUAGGACUGCAGGGUGGUGCCUGUGGUGGAAAACGAUUUUCUAGUGGUUGGGGAUGAGCUCGCGGCCUAUCAGCUUGUUGGUGGGGUAAUGGCCUACCAAGGCGGCGACGGGUAGCCGGCCUGAGAGGGUGGACGGCCACAUUGGGACUGAGAUACGGCCCAGACUCCUACGGGAGGCAGCAGUGGGGAAUAUUGCACAAUGGGCGGAAGCCUGAUGCAGCGACGCCGCGUGGGGGAUGACGGCCUUCGGGUUGUAAACUCCUUUCGACCGCGAGGAAGCCACCUGGUUGGAAGGGUGGUGACGGUAGUGGUAGAAGAAGCACCGGCUAACUACGUG
rnacentral:rRNA from 1 species